rnacentral:rRNA from 1 species
AUUGAACGCUGGCGGCAGGUUUAACACAUGCAAGUCGAGCGGGGUGAUGGUGCUUGCACUAUCACUUAGCGGCGGACGGGUGAGUAAUGCUUAGGAAUCUGCCUAUUAGUGGGGGACAACAUCUCGAAAGGGAUGCUAAUACCGCAUACGUCCUACGGGAGAAAGCAGGGGAUCACUUGUGACCUUGCACUAAUAGAUGAGCCUAAGUCGGAUUAGCUAGUUGGUGGGGUAAAGGCCUACCAAGGCGACGAUCUGUAGCGGGUCUGAGAGGAUGAGCCGCCACACUGGGACUGAGAAACGGCCCAGACUCCUACGGGAGGCAGCAGUGGGGAAUAUUGGACAAUGGGGGGAACCCUGAUCCAGCCAUGCCGCGUGCGUGAAGAAGGCCUUAUGGUUGUAAAGCACUUUAAGCGAGGAGGAGGCUCUUUUGGUUAAUACCCAAGAUGAGUGGACGUUACUCGCAGAAUAAGCACCGGCUAACUCUGUGCCAGCCGCCGCAGUAA